rnacentral:lncRNA from 1 species
UGAAUAUUAAUAAAACCAUAAUGUAGUCAUACAGAAAAUAAGAGAUAACCAAAUUGGACAUAUGAACAGUAGCACUUAUAUUUACUGUUCUGUACCAAAAAUUUGUUGGCCCUUGUGUAUGGAGAACCUGCAAGUCAAAGGAUGGUUCUUUUUUCUUUUGUUGUACUGGAAGUUGUUCCAUUAGAACCAAAUAAAGACCAAGCAAAGGAGAUACAAAUAAGAACUAUGUAAAAUGUGCCCACAAUCUAUUUUGAACUGAAGGCCCCUGCAGUUUUGCAACUCCUACGAUGUUGUGAACUUGGACAACGGAACAUUUGGUGCUUGGGCCGGCAGGAAAGGCAAAACUGCAGAAUCUUGAUUAUUUCGUCCUUUGUGCACUUAGCCAUAGCAUAUUAAAACUAAUCCUAUCAAGCUUGCCGAUAUAGCUACUGUCAGCCAGUUGAUGCUUUCCCUUUGAAUUCAUUGCCUUAGAUCGCCCAUGCAACAGAUUUAUGGCCUCUAGUGACGUUCUUAUCCAGGCGACUCAAGCCUCUUCAGUGAAUUAUGGUCGCUCCACCCAUCCAAUGCUCAUCUCCAUCACCAUUGCUUUGCCCCUGCCCUGUACGCCCGCGACGCCCAUGUACGACCUGCUUGUGUUCCCCUCCGCCAUGGCCACCUCCACUACUACCAUUGCAGCUUCGAUGGAUUUGUACUCUGACGAUAGAUUAAACAGUGAGACAUCGUUGAAGGAAUUUUUUGCUGUGUACAACCAUUAGAAAGGAGUUAUGUUGGCUCUCGUGCUACGGACUGUCAUCUAAACACUGCGCUGCAAACAAUUACCAUGCAUACAAGGAAGAAGAACAGAUCACAUUUUUUUUAUGGCUGGAAGCAGAAACAUAAAAAUGGGUGACCUUUCACCAAACGUACACUUGAUGGCGCCUAAUAGUCUAAAAUAUAGUCUGGCCGAAGAUUGUGACCAGUCUGAAAUUAGCCUUUGAAGGAAGAUAAUGGUGAUCAUAGAACUUACCGUACAUGCUGCUGCAGUCUUGCAGACCACGAUGAGAUAGGGCAC